AAUGCAUUGAAAAGCUCUAAAACACACACAAAACCCUUAAAAUAUGGUCAAAAACACAUAAUUCGGAAUUUGGGACAUGACCUUGACUUUUGACCUUAUGACCUUUGUCAAGGUCAUUGGUCCACGAUGUCAUAACAAAAGACCCCAUGGGUCUAGGACCUUUGGUUCAUGAGUUAAAGCUUAUUUUGUCUUUUCUAAAACAGUUAACAGGGGUUAUGCCCCUUACAGAUAGGUCAAAUCUCUUCGGUCAAAAUGUAAAAAAGUUGCGCCUUUAUGUCCCAAUUAUUUUUCACUAUUUACUGUUUCUGUAAGUAUUAUCGUUUUUGAGAUAUCCAAUAAAUAAGUUUUAAGGUCAAAGGUCAAGGUCAACCUCAAAAAGCUUUAAAACACACUAAAAAUCCUUUAGAUAAGGUCAAAAACACUUAAUUCGCUAUCUGGGACAUGACCUUGACCUUUGACCUUGUGACCUUUGUCAAGGUCAUUGGUCCCAAAUGUCAUUGUUGAAGACCCGAUUGAUCUAGGACCUUUAGUUAUAUAGUAAAAGCUGAUUUUGUCUUUUCAGAAACCUAAAACAGGGGUUAUGCCCCUUACAGAAAGGUCAAAUCUCUUCGGUCAAAAUGUAAAAAAGUUGCGGCUUUAUGACCCAAACAUUUUUCACUAUUUACUAUUUCUGUAAGAUUUACCGUUUUUGAGAUAUCAAAUAAAAAGUUGUAAGGUCAAAGGUCAAGGUCAACCUUAAAAAGCUUUAAAAGACACUAAAAAUCCCUUAAAUAAGGUCAAAAACACAUAAUUCGCUAUCUGGG